rnacentral:rRNA from 1 species
ACACAUGCAAGUCGAACGGCAGCACGGGUGCUUGCACCUGGUGGCGAGUGGCGAACGGGUGAGUAAUACAUCGGAACAUGUCCUGUAGUGGGGGAUAGCCCGGCGAAAGCCGGAUUAAUACCGCAUACGAUCUACGGAUGAAAGCGGGGGACCUUCGGGCCUCGCGCUAUAGGGUUGGCCGAUGGCUGAUUAGCUAGUUGGUGGGGUAAAGGCCUACCGAGGCGACGAUCAGUAGCUGGUCUGAGAGGACGACCAGCCACACUGGGACUGAGACACGGCCCAGACUCCUACGGGAGGCAGCAGUGGGGAAUUUUGGACAAUGGGCGAAAGCCUGAUCCAGCAAUGCCGCGUGUGUGAAGAAGGCCUUCGGGUUGUAAAGCACUUUUGUCCGGAAAGAAAUCCUUGGUUCUAAUAUAGCCGGGGGAUGACGGUACCGGAAGAAUAAGCACCGGCUAACUACGUGCCAGCAGCCGCGGUAAUACGUAGGGUGCGAGCGUUAAUCGGAAUUACUGGGCGUAAAGCGUGCGCAGGCGGUUUGCUAAGACCGAUGUGAAAUCCCCGGGCUCAACCUGGGAACUGCAUUGGUGACUGGCAGGCUAGAGUAUGGCAGAGGGGGGUAGAAUUCCACGUGUAGCAGUGAAAUGCGUAGAGAUGUGGAGGAAUACCGAUGGCGAAGGCAGCCCCCUGGGCCAAUACUGACGCUCAUGCACGAGAGCGUGGGGAGCAAA